UGACCCCCUUCCUCAUUUCUCUACCAAGCACUUCUAGGCUCUAAAUUUGAACCUUUUUCCUGGAAAGCUGGACACUGAGAGCAAUUGAGUCAAGGCCAAAGCCCAGUUCUUCCAGCACCUAACAAGCCUGAAGGCAGCAGCCAUUAUAAUGCACAAUUGACAACAUGAGCUCUUCUACUACUGACAAAGCACAUGGCAAGCCCACAGGGAUUUUCAAAAUGAAAGUUAUUCUGACGAGGUUCCCUUCAUUCAAGGCUAUAUUCUCACCACAGAAAUUAUGACUGAAUUCGGUGUUCCAACUGAAAGGUUUACUGAAACAACAACCAAAAAUGCAACCCGAAAAGCCACCUUGUAAAUUGUGAAAAUUCUGAUGACAAGAAUA